rnacentral:rRNA from 1 species
AGACAGAGGGUGCGAACGUUGCUCGGAAUUACUGGGCGUAAAGCGCGUGUAGGCGGACUUGUAAGUCGAUUGUGAAAGCCCUGGGCUCAACCCAGGAACUGCAUUCGAAACUACAAGUCUUGAGUGGUAGAGAGGGAAGCGGAAUUCCCGGUGUAGAGGUGAAAUUCGUAGAUAUCGGGAGGAACACCAGCGGCGAAGGCGGCUUCCUGGACACCAACUGACGCUGAGACGCGAAAGCGUGGGGAGCAAACAGAAUUAGAAACCCUAGUAGUCC